CGUAUUCGUCCGCAAGAAUGUAUCCGAAGUAAUAGUUACUAUAAGUAAUCCGACGCCAAAUAUACUCGGAUAUUGUGGUCUGUAGUCAUUUGCGAUUAGCGGUACGUCUUGUUUAUUAUCAUAGUCGAAUUCUUCGUGUUUUCAGAUUGUUAUUUGUAUACCUAUAUCGGAUUACGAUUGCCGGAUCGAUUUUCGUUUUGAAACGAUUAUAGGGUUUUUUCCUUCGAAAAAAUGUUUCGUUCGAACCGUAUACGGUAUUUUUCGAUACACUCGUAUAAUACAUCCGUACCGAUAUUAUAUUACGCGUAUAUUUUUGUACGUUUUUUACCGUUCAAAUGGAUUUUUUUGUCUAUAGGUCGUUUAGACGAGAUUCCAAAC